rnacentral:sRNA from 1 species
ACGUCCGCGGCGAUCUCCGAGCGGUGGGGACCCAACGCCUCCUGAAAUGUCGCCAGGCUCGGCGAGUAGACGUGGCACGCCGCGACGAACUCCGGCGCGCUUCCAGG